rnacentral:misc_RNA from 1 species
GAUGAAGAACGCAGCGGAAUGCGAUAAGUAAUGUGAAUUGCAGAAUUCAGUGAAUCAUCGAAUCUUUGAACGCACCUUGCACCCUUUGGCAUUCUGAAGGGUAUGCUCGUUUGAGUGUCAUUGUACUCUCACACUCCCGAUCUUUGCAUUGGGAGCAGUGGACUUGGGUUUGCUGCUUCACCGUCGCUUACCUCAAAUAGGUUAGUGCAACUCUUGGUUGGACAUAGUACGGCGUGAUAAGUGUUCUUCGCCGGUGCCUCGCAAAGAGGGUGGCCGAUCGGGAUGUUGUGCUCCAAACCGUCUUCGGACAAUCUCUGACGACUUGACCUCAAAUCGAGUAAGACUACCCGCUGAACUUAAGCAUAUCAAUAAGCGGAGGA